CCCGCACAAGCGGUGGAGCAUGUGGUUUAAUUCGAUGCAACGCGAAGAACCUUACCAGGGCUUGACAUCUUCCUGACGUGCGUGGAAACAUGCAUUUCUUUCGGGACAGGAAGACAGGUGGUGCAUGGCUGUCGUCAGCUCGUGUCGUGAGAUGUUGGGUUAAGUCCCCGCAACGAGUGCAACCCCUGCUCCUAGUUGCUAACAGGCAAAGCUGAGCACUCUAGGGAGACUGCCGGGGACGACCCGGAGGAAGGUGGGGAUGACGUCAAGUCCUCAUGGCCCUUAUGGGUAGGGCUUCACACGUCAUACAAUGGUCGGUACAGAGGGUUGCCAAGCCGCGAGGUGGAGCCAAUCCCAGAAGGCCGAUCGUAGUCCGGAUCGGAGUCUGCAACUCGACUUCAUGAAGGCGGAAUCGCUAGUAAUCGCGGGUCAGCAGACCGCGGUGAAUACGUUCCCGGGUUUU
rnacentral:rRNA from 1 species